GACGAACGCUGGCGGCGUGCUUAACACAUGCAAGUCGAACGGAAAGGCCCUGCUGUUGUUGGACGCGCGACUGGCGAACGGGUAAGUAACACGUAAGUUACCUGCCCUUGACGUUGGGAUAACUUCAAGUAACUCGGACAAAUACCGGAUAGUAGUUCCGCCUGCAUGGGGGGGGUUGGAAAGGUUCGUGGUUUGGGGAUUGACGCGCGGCUUUCAGGCUUGUGGGGGGGUUAGCGGCUUACCAAGGCUUUGGCGGGUAGCCGGCCUGGGAGGGUGACCGGCAAAAUUGGGACUGGGAACGGGCCAGACUCCCUAGGGGGGGAAGCAGUGGGGAAUAUGGCACAAUGGGCGGAACCCUGAUCAAGAACCGCGGGGUGGGGAAUGCCGGCCUUCGGGUUGUAAACCGCUUUAGCAUGUGACGAAGCGUGAGUGACGGUAAUGGGUAAAGAAGCACCGGCUAACUACGUG
rnacentral:rRNA from 1 species